UGACACCUACGGGAGGCAGCAGUAGGGAAUCUUCCACAAUGGGCGAAAGCCUGAUGGAGCAACGCCGCGUGGGUGAAGAAGGCCUUCGGAUCGUAAAACCCUGUUGUUAGAGAAGAAAGUUCGUGAGAGUAACUGUUCACGUUUCGACGGUAUCUAACCAGAAAGCCACGGCUAACUACGUGCCAGCAGCCGCGGUAAUACGUAGGUGGCAAGCGUUAUCCGGAUUUAUUGGGCGUAAAGGGAACGCAGGUGGUCUUUUAAGUCUGAUG
rnacentral:rRNA from 1 species